AAUAGGUUAUCAUUCCUAUUCCCACUUCAGGGAACUUCCCAUUGGCACCAACUUGACUGAUAUU
ensembl:snoRNA M163.14 ncRNA